AGUGAACGCUGGCGGUAGGCCUAACACAUGCAAGUCGAACGGCAGCACAGUAAGAGCUUGCUCUUACGGGUGGCGAGUGGCGGACGGGUGAGGAAUACAUCGGAAUCUACUUUUUCGUGGGGGAUGACGUAGGGAAACUUACGCUAAUACCGCAUACGACCUACGGGUGAAAGCAGGGGAUCUUCGGACCUUGCGCGAUUGAAUGAGCCGAUGUCGGAUUAGCUAGUUGGCGGGGUAAAGGCCCACCAAGGCGACGAUCCGUAGCUGGUCUGAGAGGAUGAUCAGCCACACUGGAACUGAGACACGGUCCAGACUCCUACGGGAGGCAGCAGUGGGGAAUAUUGGACAAUGGGCGCAAGCCUGAUCCAGCCAUACCGCGUGGGUGAAGAAGGCCUUCGGGUUGUAAAGCCCUUUUGUUGGGAAAGAAAAGCAGCAGGUUAAUACCCCGCUGUUCUGACGUUACCCAAAGAAUAAGCACCGGCUAACUUCGUG
rnacentral:rRNA from 1 species